rnacentral:lncRNA from 1 species
AUGACCCCAGCUGCUGUGCACAGAGAGCCUCCCACCUUCCCAAAGCUGGAUUCCUCUAUUUGGCAUCCAGGAGCCUUUUCGCAAGCUUCAGAAAAGACUUGGCACACAGUACAUGUGGAAAAGAGAAGGGGAAGAAAAAAGCAAGAAAAAAGGAAAGAAAAAAAGCAUAUGUCCCUUUGAUUGUUUCUAAGGCAACAGGAUAAAACUGAGAGAUCCAAUGUUAUAAGACCAGACUUAUAACUCCUGGACUUUCUGAGACCUCACAGAGCCCCUUGUCUUUCCAUUCAGUGAAGGAGAAAUUUUUGCAAGGUAUUUAUUUUCAGAUACAGUCACUAAA